rnacentral:rRNA from 1 species
GACGAACGCUGGCGGCGUGCUUAACACAUGCAAGUCGAACGGAAAGGCCCUGUUUUUGUGGGGUGCUCGAGUGGCGAACGGGUGAGUAACACGUGAGUAACCUGCCCUUGACUUUGGGAUAACUUCAGGAAACUGGGGUUAAUACCGGAUAGGAGCUCCUUCUGCAUGGUGGGGGUUGGAAAGUUUCGCCGGUUGGGGAUGUACUCGCGGCAUAUCAGCUUGUUGGUGGGGUAGUGGCUUACCAAGGCUUUGACGAGUAGCCGGCCUGAGAGGGUGACCGGCCACAUAGGGACAGGGGUACGGCCCGGAGUCCUACGUGGGGAAGCGGUGGGAGAUAGAGCACGAUAGGCGGAAGGCUGAAGCAGCAACGCCGGGUGGGGGAUGUCGGCCUUCAGGUAGGAAAGCGCGUGCGCCUGUGACGAAGCGUAAGUGACGGUAAUGGGUAAGGAAGCACCGGCUAACUACGUG